CAGCGUGCGCUCGCUCGGUUCUCAGCACCUGUGACAAGUGGCCAGUUGGUGGGAGAGUUAAGGAAGGAAGAGGCUAGCCGACGCGCCGGAGCGGAGGGUGGGUGGCCGCUUUGGCUGGGGACCCGGAUGUGAGUGCGGCGCCUGUGUGCCUCCCCCGGGGCGCACGGUUUAGGCGACAGCUGAACGCCGGCCUGUCUCUGGGACGGAGGCUAGGUGGUGGCACCUCACCCGGGGCCCUGCCAGGGUGCCCUGGCCUGGCGCGGCGGGGGCGCGUGCCUGCUGGAAGGCGGGAGCCGGAGCGUGGCGUGGGCACUGGGUGCCCCACGGGGCCGCUGGCCCGCGGCGCUGCGUCCUUCGGAAGAGCCGCUGUCCCGGCCGGCCGGGUCGGAUGGGCAGAGCGGUUGGUUACCCGAAAGGCUUUCAUUUCACCGUCUAACCUCAAGUCGCCGCAGCUUCUCUCUUAACUCAGGCAAAAGACCCGAAGGGCAUAACAUCCCGAGAAGGAAACCAGAACCGCCCCCGCCGGCAAUAACGACUGACAGCCCAGACAGAGUUCUGGAGGCCCGGCCAACCAGACCAGUCUGAACUUAACCGCCGGCUCACGCCUGCGCACACGGGACCGUGCAGUGACCCAGGGAGGGACCAGCGGUUACCUUUGCCUCAUCAUAAUACUAAAAUCUGCACCGAGGGGGGGCUCGUCUCAUUUACGUGACAUACAAAGCAUAUGUGUAGACGUGUUUCCUUAGGGCGCGUGCAGGACCUCAUGCCCACCUCUGCGUACAGUGACAAGGCUUCCCUAACCCUCAGUUUCAGGAACCCACCCGCCCCUGCUCUGAGAGUCACGGCUUUUGAAAGUUAUUCCCGGUGAUAUCCUUAUCCACUGCGAAUAAAGUUUCCCUUGUGCCACAA